rnacentral:rRNA from 1 species
GCCACGCCCGCUACGAGAAACGUUAAAGGGAAGUUGGACGGGGAGCACUACGAACGGGUGGACGCCUGUCGGUUUAAUUGGAUUCAACGCCGAAAUCUCGACCGGGGCGACAGCAAUAUGAAGGUCAGGCUGAAGACCUUACCCGAUUAGCUGAGAGGUGGUGCAUGGCCGUCGUCAGUUCGUGCUGUGAAGCAUCCUGUUAAGUCAGGCAACGAGCGAGACCCACGUCCACAGUUGCCAGCAUACCCUCCGGGGUGAUGGGUACACUGUGGAGACCGCCGCUGCUAAAGCGGAGGAAGGAGUGGGCAACGGUAGGUCAGUAUGCCCCGAAUCUCCCGGGCUACACGCGGGCUACAAUGGUUGGUACAAUGGGCAUCUACCCCGAAAGGGGAAGGAAAUCUCUUAAAGCCAAUCGUAGUUCGGAUUGAGGGCUGCAACUCGCCCUCAUGAAGCUGGAAUCCGUAGUAAUCGCGUUUCAACAGAACGCGGUGAAUACGUCCCUGCUCCUU